UGUGUAGGCGGUUCUUUAAGUUUGGUGUGAAAUCUCCCGGCUCAACUGGGAGGGAGCGCCGAAUACUGAGGGACUAGAGUACGGGAGAGGAAAGUGGAAUUCCUGGUGUAGCGGUGAAAUGCGUAGAUAUCAGGAGGAACACCGGUGGUGUAGACGGCUUUCUGGACCGACACUGACGCUGAGACACGAAAGCGUGGGUAGCAAACAGGAUUAGAUACCCUGGUAGUCCACGCCCUAAACGAUGCAUAUUUGGUGUGGGCAGUUCAUUCUGUCCGUGCCGGAGCUAACGCGUUAAAUAUGCCGCCUGGGGAGUACAGUCGCAGGGCUGAA
rnacentral:rRNA from 1 species